rnacentral:rRNA from 1 species
UACGUAGGGCGCAAGCGUUAUCCGGAAUUAUUGGGCGUAAAGAGCUCGUAGGCGGUUUGUCGCGUCUGCCGUGAAAGUCCGGGGCUCAACUCCGGAUCUGCGGUGGGUACGGGCAGACUAGAGUGAUGUAGGGGAGACUGGAAUUCAUGGUGUAGCAGUGAAAUGCGUAGAUAUCGUGGAGAACACCCGUGGCGAAGGCGGGCUUCUGGCUAAUAACUGACGCUGAGGUGCGAAAGCUAGGGGAGCGAACGGG